CGCACCUUAUCACACUAUUUGUGGUGUUGGCAGGAGUGAAUUGUUAGCCUAUGAAUAUGAAAAUAUUGUAGCUGUUCACUACGCUAAAAGCUAUGGGAAGGUUACCAGGUAUGAACAACGGACUUUGUAAAUGGUUGUAAGACCUGUAUCAGUCACAAGUCAUGUCUGGUCCUUGGACCUUAAGGACCCCUAUCCUAGACGAACAAUG
rnacentral:misc_RNA from 1 species